GGCGACCGGCGCACGGGUGAGUAACGCGUAUGCAACUUACCUAUCAGAGGGGGAUAGCCCGGCGAAAGUCGGAUUAAUACCCCAUAAAACAGGGGUCCCGCAUGGGAAUAUUUGUUAAAGAUUCAUCGCUGAUAGAUAGGCAUGCGUUCCAUUAGGCAGUUGGCGGGGUAACGGCCCACCAAACCGACGAUGGAUAGGGGUUCUGAGAGGAAGGUCCCCCACAUUGGUACUGAGACACGGACCAA
rnacentral:rRNA from 1 species